AUAAUUAUAUUCCUCUACAUGAUGAAAUUACACUUUGCUAUACUCCCUCUACUGUUUCUGACGAUACACUUUGUUUAUUGUCAAAGUUAUGGUAGCUCCAGAGAUAGUUAUCGGAGACUGUACACUGAGCCAAAGUACGUAUCAGGAAGAUCAAGAGGGAGACUGUACACUCAGCGAGAGUACGUACCAGAAAGAUCAAGAGGGAGACUGUACACUCAGCGAGAGUACGUACCAGGCAGAUCAAGACAGAGAGUGUACACACAACCAGAUUAUGUAUCAGGCAGAUCACGACAGAGAGUGUACACACAACCAGAUUAUGUAUCAGGAAGAUCAAGACAGAGAGUGUACACACAACCAGAUUACGUUUCACGAAGAUCAAAACAGAGAGUGUACACACAACCAAAUUAUGUAUCACGAAGAUCAAGACAGAGAGUGUACACACAACCAGAUUAUGUUUCAGGAAGGUCAAGACAGAGAGUGUACACACAACCAGAUUACGUAUCAGGAAGAUCAAGACAGAGAGUGUACACACAACCAGAUUACGUUUCACGAAGUCAAGAGUCUCCCUUACCUGCAACCCAGACGAAACCGCUCUAGACUUGUCAUUCAACGAACCAUUUCGCGGAGUGAUAUAUGCUGGUAGUAAAGACAGCCGAUGUAAGAUACGUGGUAACGGAGGCACAAAGUACUAUCUGCGCGUGCCCUUUAACGAUUGUGGAACCAAACACGUUUGUCCAGCUGGAAGUUUUUCCAACACACUUACCAUCCAAUAUCACCCAACUUUUGAGCGCGAAGGAGAUGAGGUUAAAACAAUUGUCUGUAAGUUCGGAACAGGCACGUUGAGAGUUUAAUUAAAGAAUGCGGAUUUAAAUGUUUUGAAAGAGCUUAUUUAAAACAAAGUCUAGUAUGGGAAACUUAGGAAAAGAUUAGCUUAUUUUCGAUUUAUUGUAGAAAAUAAAAUCAACCUUAAAUACGUUUAGAAAACAGUCUCUUAUAAAUUGAAAUAAUUAUGUGUAUAACAGCAUCUGUUAAAUCUGUUCUAAUGUGUGGAAUAAUAAUUAGUUUAUAACUAACCAAAUGAAUCACUUUACGUUUGU